CUUUUACCAGGGAUGAUAAUGACAGUACCUGGAGAAUAAGCUCCGGCUAACUCCGUGCCAGCAGCCGCGGUAAUACGGAGGGAGCUAGCGUUGUUCGGAAUUACUGGGCGUAAAGCGCGCGUAGGCGGCUUGCCAAGUCAGGGGUGAAAUCCCGGGGCUCAACCCCGGAACUGCCCUUGA
rnacentral:rRNA from 1 species